rnacentral:rRNA from 1 species
UACAGAGGGUGCGAGCGUUAAUCGGAAUUACUAGGCGUAAAGCGCGCGUAGGCGGCUUUGCAAGUCGGAUGUGAAAUCCCCAGGCUCAACUUGGGAACUGCAUCCGAUACUGGAUGGCUUGAAUCCGGGAGAGGGAUGCAGAAUUCCAGGUGUAGCGGUGAAAUGCGUAGAUAUCUGGAGGAAUACCGGUGGCGAAGGCGGCAUCCUGGACCGGCAUUGACGCUGAUGAGCGAAAGCUAGGGGAGCAAACGGG